rnacentral:rRNA from 1 species
AGGACGAACGCUGGCGGCGUGCUUAACACAUGCAAGUCGAGCGGUGAUCCUCCUUCGGGAGGUGAUCAGCGGCGAACGGGUGAGUAACACGUGGGCAACCUGCCCCCUCACACUGGGAUAAACCUCGGGAAACCGGGGCUAAUACCGGAUACGACCUCGAGCGGCAUCUCUUGAGGUGGAAAGCUCCGACGGUGAGGGAUGGGCCCGCGGCCUAUCAGCUUGUUGGUGGGGUAAUGGCCUACCAAGGCGACG